AUUGAACGCUGGCGGCAGGCCUAACACAUGCAAGUCGAGCGAGCGGCGGACGGGUGAGUAAUGUAUGGGGACUGCCCGAUAGAGGGGGAAAACUACUGGAAACUGUGGCUAAUACCGCAUACUAUCGGAUAACCCAUAUGGGAUUAGCUUGUAGGUGGGGUAAAGGCUCACCUGUGCGACGACCCCGAGUUGGUCUGAGAGGGUGAACAGCCACACUGGGACUGAGACACGGCCCAGACUCCUACGGAGGCAGCAGUGGGGAAUAUUGCACAAUGGGCGCAAGCCUGAUGCAGCCAUGCCGCGGGUGUGAAGAAGGCCUUAGGGUUGUAAAGUACUUUCAGCGGGGAGGCGUUACCCGCAGAAGAAGCACCGGCUAACUCCGUGCCAGCAGCCGCGGUAAUAC
rnacentral:rRNA from 1 species